CCUACGGGUGACAGCAGUGAGGAAUAUUGGUCAAUGGGCGCGAGCCUGAACCAGCCAAGUAGCGUGAAGGAAGACAGUCCUAUGGAUUGUAAACCUCUUUUGUCGGGGAGCAAAAGACGCCACGCGUGGCGUUCCGUGAGUACCCGAAGAAAAAGCAUCGGCUAACUCCGUGCCAGCAGUCGCGGUAAUACGGAGGAUGCGAGCGUUAUCCGGAUUUAUUGGGUUUAAAGGGUGCGCAGGCGGAAGAUCAAGUCAGCGGUAAAAUCGAGAGGCUCAACCUCUUCGAGCCGUUGAAACUGGUUGUCUUGAGUGAGCGAGAGGUAUGCGGAAGGCGUGGUGUAGCGGUGAAAUGCAUAGAUAUCACGAAGAACUCCGAUUGCGAAGGCAGCAUACCGGCGCUCAACUGACGCUCAUGCACGAAAGUGUGGGUAUCGAACAGGAUUAGAUACCCUUGUAGUC
rnacentral:rRNA from 1 species